rnacentral:tRNA from 1 species
GCCUGGGUGGCUCAGUCGGUUGAGCAUCCGACUUUAGCUCAGGCCACGAUCUCAUAGUUCGUGGGUUCAAGCCCUGCGCUGGGCU